GUAGCGAAAUCAUUUGUUUUUUAAUUGGAAACGGGUAUGAAUGGUUAAAUGUCUAAAUCUAUGUUUUUAUCUUAUGAUGAAAUUACAUUUUUUGUAAAAAUGCAUAAAUGAUUUAAAGGGACGACAAGACCCUAAAAUCUUUAUUAUUUGAUAAUUAACUUUAUUUGUGUUUAUAAAUUUAAUUAUUUAGUAAUUUGGCUGGGGCAGUGGUUUUUGCAAAUAAAUAUGCUAUUAAACUUUUAGGAUAUAAGAUCUUUUAUAUAAGGAUAAUUAAAAUUAGUUACUUUAGGGGUAACAGCGUAAUCUUCUUGGAGAGGUCUUAUCUAUAGGAAGGAUUGCGACCUCGAUGUUGAAUUAAAAUUUCUAAACGAAGCAGCAGGUGUUUUAGAGGGUUUGUUCAACCUUUAAUUUUUU
rnacentral:rRNA from 1 species